GACGAACGCUGGCGGCAUGCCUAAUACAUGCAAGUCGAGCGAACAGAUGAAGUGCUUGCACUUCUGACGUUAGCGGCGAACGGGUGAGUAACACGUAAGGAAUCUACCUAUAAGCGGGGGAUAACAUUCGGAAACGGGUGCUAAUACCGCAUAAUAUCUUCUUCCGCAUGGAAGAAGAUUGAAAGACGGCUCUGCUGUCACUUAUAGAUGACCUUGCGGUGCAUUAGUUAGUUGGUGGGGUAACGGCCUACCAAGACGAUGAUGCAUAGCCGACGUGAGAGGGUGAUCGGCCACAUUGGGACUGAGACACGGCCCAAACUCAUACGGGAGGCAGCAGUAGGGAAUCUUCCGGAAUGGGCGAAAGCCUGACGGAGCAAUGCCGCGUGAGUGAAGAAGGCCUUCGGGUCGUAAAACUCUGUUAUAAGAGAAGAACAAAUUGUAGAGUAACUGCUACAGUCUUGACGGUAUCUUAUCAGAAAGCCCCGGCUAACUACGUGCCAGCCGCCGCCGUAA
rnacentral:rRNA from 1 species